GGCGCCGCGCGCGGCCGGGGCCGCUGCUCGGGCGCUGGGGGUGCCCGGGUCCGCUGCUCGGGCGCUGCGCGCCGCCG
rnacentral:tRNA from 1 species